ACUACAAGACCUUUGACAACAAGUUCUUCACCUUCACUGGUCACUGUCAGUAUCUACUGGCAAGAGACUGCGGCAAAGACAGUGGGUUUUCUGUCAUCAUUGAGAAUGUGCAGUGUGCAGAUGACCAGGAUGCUGUAUGCACACGCUCAGUGACGCUCAGCCUGCCCUCUCUGGAGGACAUGACAGUGAAGCUGAAGCAUGGAGGAGUUGUUUCUGUCAACAGUAUGGACAUCCAGACCCCAAUGCAUCAUGGCCGUCUGAUUAUCCAAAGAUCCGUCCAGUCUUCUGUACACGUAAAGUUUGGAGAUGACCUUCGCCUAGACUGGGAUGGGCGUGGCCGCGUACUUUUAAAGGUAGAAACUGUUU